AACACGUGAGCAACCUGCCCUAGGCUUUGGGAUAACCCCGGGAAACCGGGGCUAAUACCGAAUAGGACCAUCGGCUGCAUGGCUGGUGGUGGAAAGUUUUUCGGCCUGGGAUGGGCUCGCGGCCUAUCAGCUUGUUGGUGGGGUGAUGGCCUACCAAGGCGACGACGGGUAGCCGGCCUGAGAGGGCGACCGGCCACACUGGGACUGAGACACGGCCCAGACUCCUACGGGAGGCAGCAGUGGGGAAUAUUGCACAAUGGGCGGAAGCCUGAUGCAGCGACGCCGCGUGAGGGAUGACGGCCUUCGGGUUGUAAACCUCUUUCAGCAGGGACGAAGCGAGAGUGACGGUACCUGCAGAAGAAGCACCGGCCAACUACGUGCCAGCAGCCGCGGUAAGACGUAGGGUGCGAGCGUUGUCCGGAAUUAUUGGGCGUAAAGAGCUCGUAGGCGGCUUGUCGCGUCGACUGUGAAAACCCGCGGCUCAACCGCGGGCCUGCAGUCGAUACGGGCAGGCUAGAGUUCGGUAGGGGAGACUGGAAUUCCUGGUGUAGCGGUGAAAUGCGCAGAUAUCAGGAGGAACACCGGUGGCGAAGGCGGGUCUCUGGGCCGAUACUGACGCUGAGGAGCGAAAGCGUGGGGAGCGAACAGGAUUAGAUACCCUGGUAGUCCACGCUUGUAACGUUGGGCGCUUAGGUGGUGGGGGGCCUCUCCCGGUUCCCUGUGCCGCAGCUAACGCAUUAAGCGCCCCGCCUGGGGAGUACGGCCGCAAGGCUUAAACUCAAGGAAUUGACGGGGGCCGCACAGCGGCGGACAUGCGGAUUAUUCGAUGCACGCGAGAACUUACCUGGGUUGACAUGCCGCAAACGGCAGAGAUUCGGUCCUUCGGGGCGG
rnacentral:rRNA from 2 species